rfam:Camelus ferus unplaced genomic scaffold scaffold591, whole genome shotgun sequence.
UAAAAGCUCUUUUCAGAGUCACCUACUCUUUCAAAUAAAAACAGU